GAUGAACGCUGGCGGCGUGCCUAAUACAUGCAAGUCGAGCGAAUGGAUUAAGAGCUUGCUCUUAUGAAGUUAGCGGCGGACGGGUGAGUAACACGUGGGGUAACCUGCCCAUAAGACUGGGAUAACUCCGGGAAACCGGGGCUAAUACCGGAUAACAUUUUGAACCGCAUGGUUCGAAAUUGAAAGGCGGCUUCGGCUGUCACUUAUGGAUGGACCCGCGUCGCAUUAGCUAGUUGGUGAGGUAACGGCUCACCAAGGCAACGAUGCGUAGCCGACCUGAGGGGGUGAUCGGCCACACUGGGACUGAGACACGGCCCAGACUCCUACGGGAGGCAGCAGUAGGGAAUCUUCCGCAAUGGACGAAAGUCUGACGGAGCGACGCCGCGUGAGUGAUGAAGGCUUUCGGGUCGUAAAACUCUGUUGUUAGGGAAGAACAAGUGCUAGUUGAAUAAGCUGGCACCUUGACGGUACCUAACCAGAAAGCCACGGCUAACUACGUGCCAGCAGCCGCCGUAA
rnacentral:rRNA from 1 species